rnacentral:rRNA from 1 species
GGCGCACGGGUGCGUAACACGUGGGCAAUCUGCCCUCCGGUGGGGAAUAACCCCGCGAAAGCGGGGCUAAUUCCGCAUAACAUUCCCUGGACUCCGGUUCGGGGAUUCAAAGCAGCAAUGCGUCGGAGGAGGAGCCCGUGCCCGAUUAGCUAGUUGGUGAGGUAACGGCUCACCAAGGCAAUGAUCGGUAGCUGGUCUGAGAGGAUGGCCAGCCACACUGGAACUGAGACACGGUCCAGACUCCAUACGGGAGGCAGCAGUGGGGAAUCUUGCGCAAUGGGCGAAAGCCUGACGCAGCGACGCCGCGUGGGGGAUGAAGCUUUCGGAGUGUAAACCCCUUUCGACCGGGACGAAUGCCCGCAAGGGAGUGACGGUACCGGGUAGAAGAAGCCCGGCUAACUACGUGCCAGCCGCCGCGG